rnacentral:snRNA from 1 species
AUCGCUUCUCGGCCUUUUGGCUAAGAUCAAAGUGUAGUAUCUGUUCUUAUCAGCUUAAUAUCUGAUACGGGUCCUAUUUGGACCCAAGAUAUUAAUCUUAUUUUUGGAAUGCGGCGUAGUGCUUGAGGUUUACCUCACCUAUGCCACGGGUUGGCCCGGUAUUGCACUGCCUCCGGGAUCGACCCACCCCCU